rnacentral:rRNA from 1 species
GUCUACAGGCAUGCUACCCUGAACAAGCCCAAUGUCUGACCUCGGAAGCUAAGCAGGGUCAGGCCUGGUUAGUACUUGGAUGGGAGACCACCUAGGAAGACCAGGUGCUGUAAGCG